ensembl:lncRNA
GACAUGGAAGGUGCAAACCGAGUACACAUAGACCAGUGCACCUGUGCCAAGAACAGAGAAAGAUGGUAGUGUCUUAAGAAAAGGAACCAUCUCUGCUUGGAAAGCCACCAGGAGGAGGCCUGGCCUUCCCAGAAGUGCACCAACAGCAGCAAAGAGUCUCUUGCAACCACUUAGCUACCUCUUUCUGCUCCGCAGCUGGGAUUAAUGCCCAAUUCUGUGAGCAUUUUUCCUCUUCCUCCUGUUUGCUCCACUGCAAAGUCAGACAGCUUAGUAUAAACUCCCUUCAAAGAAGCAUUCCAGCUGCUGAAUCAGCUGAGAAGACAAAGAGCAAGGCUGGUGUGAAGCCCAUUCUGGAGCAGUGGAAACCAACAAAAUUAAAACAAACAAACAAAAAAAUAUAUGAGGAAUCUGCACACAGGUGUGUGUGGUGCAGAGAAAAACUCUUAGCCUUUUUUCACUUGAUUUGCCAAAUCCCCAGCCCUGCAUCAGGGCUCCCAGCUCUGCCCAGCUGCCGGAUGGUGCUCUGGGAUUCAUCCCCUGCACUGCCUGCUUCUCUUUUCUGUUCACUGGAUCCCUUUGCUGUCCUAUGACCUGUCUAAUGCGGAGGAGAAGAAACGUGGUUGACUGCACAAAGAGGUUUCCCUCAUCCAUCAGUUCAUCUUCCCCUCCAGCCCUCUGCCAUAAAAUUGGCCCGUGAAAAGGAACACUGGAAGAAAAAGGACAAAAGCUGGACUAAAGUAAUCAAAGGAAGGGAAGAAGGAAGAGGUGAUGGGAGCAGCCAGAGCUCAGCAUGUAGGGUGAAGGGAGCUGCACCAAGCAGGAAAAGAUGCUUUCUGUCUUUCACCUGAUGACAAUCCCUCCUGAAGUGCUGAGACUUGAAAUUAAAACAGAGACUUCAUUUCAUGAGUGUGUGUGAUGCCUAAUGCUGGUUUUAUAGAAUUAUGUGGAAACCUCAUGCAAAUUUGCCUUCAGGCUUUUCCAUGUCCUAACCCAGACAGCUCUUUCCUCCUUUCAAUGCUUAGCAACUUAUAUCGUUCUAAACUACAGAGACAGUGUAUUAGUUUACCCAAAUUCACUGUCAUUUGAUUGCAUUUUGUUUUACUCACAAGUGAAUGAUGCAGAGGUGCCAGUGCAAGAAGUCUUCCAUGCAAACCCCCGCUAGCAGCAAACAGAUGGACAGAUUCCAGGUUGUCUUAAUUUUUUCAAUUAGCUGUUCUAAUACAAUUCCUCACCAAGCAUUUCUGAUCUUCAAGGUGUUGCAUUUACAAGAAAGCAUUAGAGAAAGAGGAGGUAUCUUUGCUUAUCAGAUUAAAGAAACUAAUUAUGUUGAGGAUUUUUUAGUACUUAAAAAAACAAGAAGUGGGUGUUAGCUCUAUGUCAUGCUACAAAACAUCAACGUGGUGACCCCAUUUAAUUAUUUUCUUCAUUCACUAAGCUCCUAUAUCGGCAAGACUUCUUGCAUUUCACGGGGACAAUGGGAUACUCAAAGACAAAAGAUGAUGUUUAAAAAGAAAAUAACUAAUUAGAUGUCAAAGCUUUAUAUUAAAAGUGCUCAGUGAGAAAAACACUGAGGGAUUUUGCACAGAUACAAAGGCAAACAGGAGGUUUAUCCUAUUAACUAUGUGCUUCUAAUCCAUAUAUCCACUCAGAAUCUAGCCAUUUUAUCCAUCAGCCAGGCUGGUUUGCAUUAAAGAGGGACAAAAUCUGAAUAUGACGUGGGUAUUUCUAUGGCUUACUGUACCUUUUUUCAUAUGAUGUCAUUUUUUCUGCGUAAGUGGCUUUGCCAGGAUGAUUGCUGAAGUGAGAAUUGGAUACCAGGGUAUCAGUCAUUCUAUAUGUCUGCCACAAGUGCUCCUACUUCUUUAAUGCUGCUGAACUUUUGUUCAUAACGCACAAAUGCACACAGUUUUCAUUAUAGUACUGAAGCAUAAGUGGGGAGGACUAGAAAAUAAGAAAGUACCAGUCAGCACCUUUUUAAGCAUGCACAGUGUGUAAUUGAAAAUGUUGCAGGACCCAAUUGUCAACCUAAUAUCAUUUUAAGGCAUAAAAUCAUGGAACUGUUUUCUUCAGUAUUCAAGACGUGGUUAUGACAGACACUUAUAUGCUGGCGAAGUCUCACAUAUGUUAUCAGCAAUUCUGCAGCAUGGUUACAAGGAAAAUUGUUUGCAUAUUAAUUAUUACAUCAAAAGAAGAAAAUAGUGUUCCCUGAUCCAGAAGACACUUUGGAAGUCACCAAGGAAAGCUCCAAGUGGAGGAACAACAUAUAAGGUAAAUAGUGUCUUUUUCAGGG